UCCGGAGGGUGCAAGCGUUGCUCGGAAUUAUUGGGCGUAAAGGGUAGGUAGGUGGUCUCAUUUGUCUGGGGUGAAAGCCUUGAGCUUAACUCAAGAAGUGCCCCAGAAACGGUGAGACUGGAGUCCUGGAGAGGGUCGUGGAAUUCCCGGUGUAGCGGUGAAAUGCGUAGAGAUCGGGAGGAACACCAGAGGCGAAAGCGGCGACCUGGACAGGUACUGACACUCAACUACGAAAGCGUGGGGAGCAAACAGG
rnacentral:rRNA from 1 species